rnacentral:tRNA from 1 species
AACGAAAUGUUCAGUUGGGAGAGCGUUAGAUUAUAGAUCGGAAGUUCCCUGGUUCGAUCCCGGGAUUCGGCA